UCGGGAAUAUUGGACAAUGGGCGAAAGCCUGAUCCAGCCAUGCCGCGUGUGUGAAGAAGGUCUUCGGAUUGUAAAGCACUUUAAGUUGGGAGGAAGGGCAGUAACUUAAUACGUUGCCGUCUUGACGUUACCGACAGAAUAAGCACCGGCUAACUCUGUGCCAGCAGCCGCGGUAAUACAGAGGGUGCAAGCGUUAAUCGGAAUUACUGGGCGUAAAGCGCGCGUAGGUGGUUUGUUAAGUUGGAUGUGAAAGCCCCGGGCUCAACCUGGGAACUGCAUUCAAAACUGACAAGCUAGAGUAUGGUAGAGGGUGGUGGAAUUUCCUGUGUAGCGGUGAAAUGCGUAGAUAUAGGAAGGAACACCAGUGGCGAAGGCGACCACCUGGACUGAUACUGACACUGAGGUGCGAAAGCGUGGGGAGCAAACAGGAUUAGAUACCCACGUAGUCCCUGAGCGGGCUGGCAAGGCGCAU
rnacentral:rRNA from 1 species